rnacentral:rRNA from 1 species
UACGAAGGGGGCUAGCGUUGUUCGGAAUUACUGGGCGUAAAGGGCGCGUAGGCGGCCAUCUAAGUCAGACGUGAAAUCCCCCGGCUUAACCUGGGAACUGCGUCUGAUACUGGAAGGCUUGAGUAUGGGAGAGGGAUGUAGAAUUCCGGGUGUAGCGGUGGAAUGCGUAGAGAUCCGGAAGAACACCGGUGGCGAAGGCGGCAUCCUGGACCGGUAUUGACGCUGAGGCGCGGAAAGCCAAGGGGAGCAAACGGG